CUACAAUGGGUGGGACAAUGGGUAUCGACACCGAAAGGUGAAAGGCAAAUCUCCUAAACCCAUCCGUAGUUCGGAUUGUGGGCUGCAACUCGCCCACAUGAAGCUGGAAUCCGUAGUAAUCGCGUUUCAACAGAACGCGGUGAAUACGUCCCUCGGCUCCUU
rnacentral:rRNA from 1 species